ACAUGGUAUUAUUUCAGCACCAGCACCUGUUUCCACCAUGGGACUGAAAAAAGUAGAUGGAAAAAAAUAACUUCCGUCUUCUCCCUCGUUGCUUCUUGGGAGUUGCAGUUUCUUGAACUCUGGAGAAGAGCCUGGAAGACAGGAGGAAGGCAAACCCUGAGAAAUGUGAGACAGACGAAAUGCCCCACCUACUCUGGCAAUUCUUUUCAGGACUUUCCAUAGCUUUGCAACUGGAAGAAGAACCUCACCUGGUUUCCAGGCUUGACCAGUCGUAAGGCGGCUUCGGCACAAAGAUGAGCUGCCUUAAUGACAUCUGCUUUCCGACCUGUUACGUGGGUCCCCUGUGGAGAAAUAUAACCAGCAUCAUCCUGAAAGCUCACUAAUGUGUGUUUCUACGCAAGGCUCAGCACUGACACACCUGAGCUGGAAGCUUCCACCAAAGAUCGAAGUACCCCUGGGGACAGAAUCCCAUCAGCUGUGUGUCUAAGCAGAACACUGUCAAGCCUCUAAGAACAAGUAUUAAAGGCCAUUUCACAGGCUGGGGCAGCAGUCAUUAACCUCUUCCAGAGCUGUGUGAGAGGCUCCAGACGUGCCCUCCAACGGUCCCUCGAGCCAGGCCAGGGGAGAAGGGGGCCCCCGCCAGGAAGACCUUAAGUAAAGACUUUUCAGCAAAGCACGUGGUGGGAAAGCACGGUAGUAGAGGAAGUGGGGAGCCAGCCGUCCGCACAGGGACCUGGCAACACGUGCCAGCCUGGCUCCCACGGGUCAAGACCCGCGACUGCCCGAGGGGCGCUUCUGUCGCCAACAGCUGGGAGCUUCCUUUUCGAGGUGGCCUCACUGCUGCCAGUCGGAGGAAGCAGAGAUCCGGACAGACCGAAGGGUGAUGGGCAGAAGACGGCGCGCCUUGCCUCCUUACCAACCGCCUAGGGUCGGAGCAUGUCUGGGCCCCUCUCUGCGCUCCUCGCGGUCGCCGGCCCGCACCUCCACACUCUCCAGCCCAGGCAUGGCUGCUCAGUCCCCGAGGCGACACCAGAUCUCCCCACCACGUCGCCCCCGGUCGUCGGCACGCGCCCCUCGGUGGCUCACUCCGCAAGACCCAGCCGCUCCAGCCCCUCCGGAGACAGCCCCAAACCUCUCCCUCUCAGCCUCGAUUCCGAGACCCCCGAGGCCGC